GAGAAUUCCAGACGAGAAACAAUCAAGGCCAGCUAAUCAGGGGAUGGGCCGGAGAUGUCACUGACUUGGUUCUUUCAUUGUUGGCUGCUACUUCCUGGCGGAUGUCAGGUGGUGCAAUGCCAGCUAAACAGUAUAAUUUCUCCAGUGGUGUGGGGCGUAGACAUCCUGUGGUAAUUCGGUAUAUCUCAUUAAGAGCCACAUCGGCUGUCUUAACAUGAUUGAAAAAAACCGAACCAGAUAAUAUGUCAGAUGGGAGUGGGGACGAAUGUCAGGAGGAAAGGAAGAGAAGUAUUUUCUGACCUUGAACAAGGCCCAAGGAUGAGGGGGAUGAUAUUAUUUCUGGGAGUACAAUUUGCAUUUUGGUGGGAAAAUAUGAAGAGCUUCCUUGGGAACUCCAGAAGGAUGGGUACAGGUGAGGUGGUGAUCAUCUAUUGCAUGGC
rnacentral:lncRNA from 11 species